GCUUAAAGCGCAUCGAAGAUGGCGACGGAGGGUAGGGUCGAGCUAGUCGCUUAGAAAGGAAGCUUCCUCCUCGUCGUUUAAACGGCCGUAAACGUCGACGUAAUGUCGUAUUUGAUGGUGGUGGUGGUGGUGUGGGUACUUUUUCCUAACUAGGAUUUUUCCCUCAAA